UGUAGGAGUGAGCCUGCUCGCGAUAGCGGUGUGUCAGACAUAUUUGCAUCGACUGACACACCGCUAUCGCGAGCAGGCUCACUCCUACA
rnacentral:antisense_RNA from 1 species